rnacentral:rRNA from 1 species
UUUGCGGCGGUCAUAGCCCAGGGGAGACGCCCGGUCCCAUUCCGAACCCGGAAGCUAAGGCCUGGCACGGCGAUGGUACUGCACUCGGGAGGGUGUGGGAGAGUAGCACGCCGCCGCAU